CGGAAUACAUAGGAAAAGACGAUUCUUGUGCUGUACACCAGACUCCACAGACAACGCUAUUUGAGGUCACUGUGGAGACAGAGACUGUUGGUCACACCCAUGUGCUGCAGCUUACAGGUAGCGAAGCCGUCAAGAAAACAAAGAGGAUGCCAUAUGUGUCAGAUGUGGAUUCCAGGAAAACUACACCCGUGGCUACCAACAUAUAACAAAUCAGAAAAGAAAAAUGAAGCACUUUAAAAGCCUGACCAAGCCAGAUGGCCCUGGGGACUGCAAGCUGAUAAAGCACUGAGACCGUUGACUCUCCUUUCAUCUGGAAGUCAUACUCAGCCUGUGAAGGCCCCUCUAGCAAGAGGGUAUAGAGACUCAAGCUAUCGAUUGUGUCCUAUUUGGAGCAUGUCCUCCUUUUUUCUCCUGCAUAAUCAACUGGAAGAGAACUAGAAUGAGAUCCUGACAUAAGCAUUAGUAACCAGCAGAAAAUGCAAUGAAUAAGAAAACAGGAUGCUGGGUUUGGAUGGUUUUCUAUAGGUUCAAGGUUUCUAUAAAGGACACAUGCGUCUUUGCUUUGGUUUAUCUUAUCUACUUUGGGCUCACAAAUAUUUAGCUUCAUCUCUAAAUAACUCAUCUAACACUUACCAACCACAGGAAAGUAGUUAUACAACAGCAUAGCAGAGAGGAGGCAGAAAGACAAUUUUAUAAACUGGCUUUUUAUGAUAUGCUUUUUGAACAAUCACUUUCCUACAAGAAGACAAUUUGUAGUCCUGCGAUUAUUGUCCCAUCAGAAAACCUGUGUUGUGUUAACCUUGAACAUUUUAAAUUACAAAUGCCUUAUAGCACUCAAAGUUGGGUUAUGGUGCAUUUUCAAAUUAAACAACAUUUUUGCCUAAAACCAGCUCUUUCACAGAAAUUAGUCUUGAUUUCCACAAAGUUAUGAAAAAUAAAUAGAAGGAAUCUUCUGUUAAGAUUUUAAAAGCAAGCAAAUAACUCUAAGGAUGCUAUCCAAAUCCUUCGUCGUUUCUCUUCUCCGUUUUCAUCAAAUAUGGGAACAUUUACCCUCACAGGAAGAAGUGGGUGGAUUUGGAAAGUGGCUGAGUUCUCUAAUUUGAAUCAAUCCACAUUAAAUACAAGCUGCUGUUAUAUUAGCAAGUAAAGGACACACACAACUUAUGCUGAGUGGAUGGGGAUGAAAAGUUGGUUCUCCGUUGCUCGGAAGCUGAAGGAGAGACGGAUUUUCUGAGAUUGUUUCACAUCCUUGCUCCUCGCAGCAUCCAGCCUCAGAGGGUCAUCGGUUCUUCAGACCUCUGUACCAGUAGGUCCAACAGACGAUGCUCUAACUGCCUUUCCCAGCUCUCAGACUGUAAAUAAGGCCCUGCAAGAAGAAUGAAAUGUCAUCUUGCUGGAAGCCUGUGCUGCUUUCUAGGCAAAUCAUUUGUUCUGUGAAGACUACACAAUAAAUGUCAACCCCGGGCAGUUUUGGCAUUUGUGGGAGUGUAACACGCAGCUCUCAUCUUCCUGCAUGAGGCUGCCGAGCAGCGUGGAUUUAUGGACAGAAAGAACCAAUCAUCGAGCCUCUCCAAGUCCAGGGUUUCUCUGUAUCUUGUCUCAUCUGGGAGAUGGUCCAGAUGAUUUAUGACUGGCCAGUGUUCUGUAUGUCACACUGAGUUCUUUGGAGAAUCUGGAGCUGGAAAAAUGUCAAGUGAGGUGGGAGGAUUUUAAAAAG